CCUACGGGAGGCAGCAGUGGGGAAUAUUGGGCAAUGGAGGAAACUCUGACCCAGCGACGCCGCGUGCGGGAUGAAGGCCUUCGGGUUGUAAACCGCUUUCAGUAGGGAAGAAGCGAAAGUGACGGUACCUACAAAAGAAGCACCGGCUAACUAUGUGCCAGCAGCCGCGGUAAUACAUAGGGUGCAAGCGUUGUCCGGAAUUAUUGGGCGUAAAGAGCUCGUAGGUCGUUUGUUACGUCGGAUGUGAAAACCUGAGGCUCAACCUCAGGCCUGCAUUCGAUACGGGCAAACUAGAGUUUGGUAGGGGAGACUGGAAUUCCUGGUGUAGCGGUGGAAUGCGCAGAUAUCAGGAGGAACACCAAUGGCGAAGGCAGGUCUCUGGGCCAAUACUGACACUGAGGAGCGAAAGUCUGGGGAGCGAACAGGAUUAGAUACCCUGGUAGUCCAGACCGUAAACGGUGGGCACUAGUUGUGGGAACCUUCCACGGUUUCUGCGACGCAGCUACGCAUAGUAGCCCGCCGUCGGGAGGUACGAGCGCGAGAGUAAACGUACGAAAGAAGUAGUAACGGUCGUGAGAGUGCGAACGGACGACGACGAGGGAGGAGG
rnacentral:rRNA from 1 species